GAACAUGUUAUCAGAUGAGCCAAGGAAGCACCAGAUAGAAGCACAAAAGUGGUUAAAUACACUGCAUACACAACGCACAAAGCACAGAGGAUUCAACUUCAAAAGCCCAUUGAUAUUAACCAGCUGCAAUUUGACAACAGAUCAUCCCCUUAUAAAAUGGGAGCAGAUAUUUAUUUCGUCUUACUUGUAUGUAAUGAAUUUAUUGUUUACCACAGCCAAUAAUCAAGCUUAUCUUUUACUGCUGUAAGGGAAAAAGAUUUUUUCUCAACAAAUUGCAAGAAAGUGAAUACAAUUAUAAUAAAUGUAACAUUAAAGGCUUAGGGCCUACCGACGGACACUUGAUUCUUCUGUUUCA
rnacentral:misc_RNA from 1 species